AUUUUUUUUUCUUUCAUUAGUACCAUGGAGGAACAAAUUUUGGACGGACGGCUGCUGGUCUCUUCAUUGCCACUAGCUAUGAUUAUGAUGCUCCAAUUGACGAAUAUGGAUUACAAAGGGAACCAAAAUGGGGACAUUUGAGAGACUUGCAUAAAGCCAUCAAGCUAUGUGAACCGGCUUUAGUUUCUACAUAUCCUACAGUGACUUGGCCGGGCAAUAAUCUCCAGGUUCAUGUAUUUAACUCAAAGUCUGGUUGUGCUGCAUUCCUUACAAACUACGACACAAAAUCUUCAGCAAUAGUGACCUUCCAAAAUAUGUGAUAUGACCUCCCUCCUUGGUCCGUCAGCAUUCUCCCCGAUUGCAAGAAUGCGGUUUUCAACACCGCAAGGAUAAGCUCCCAAAGUUCAUAGAUGAAGAUGGUACCUGUAAUUAGUGGAGCAUUCUGGGAGUCAUACAUCGAAGAAACUGUCUCUGCCGAUGAUUCAGACACGGUUGCAAUGGAUGGACUAUGGGAGCAAAUAAACGUGACCAGAGAUGCCUCAAACUAUUUGUGGUACCUCACAGACCACCGAAAUUGAAGUUGGGUUGAUGUUUAUCAGUUUGAUAUAGAGGAAUUAACGAUGUUGACAUGCCCAAUAGCCACUGCACCCACUUCGCCUUUCCUCUUUGCCGGUAUGUAAGCACUACUUCCUCAAAUGGCUCUUCUUAAAA